GUAAGAUUGACUUCAUGGCAUGUGAUCAAUUAAUUAAUCAAUUAACCACACUGAAGAAACCAGUCCUUCUAAUGUUGGAAAAAGUAAUUUAAUUGAUUAUUUUCAAUCUCUGGAAAAGUAUCUAAUGCUGGGAAAGGUGGAAGGACAGAGAAGAGGAUAAUGAAGAGCAAGGACAGAGAUACCCCUUGAAUUUUCUGGCUUACAAGAAUAAUUGUUACCAGAGUGCCUCCUAUACAUUGCUGAACAAAGAGACACAAUACAAGAAGAUCUAUGGAUUUAUUUAUUCAGUUUCUAUGGCCACCGAUCUCAAACAAGUGACUGCGUGGCGAACAAUCAUAA